GUUCCCAGUGAUGGUUUAAAUUAACCAUGCUAAUACUGAUGUCCUUUGACGAGUAAAACUGUUAUUCUGAGGGAACU
rfam:Oryza brachyantha chromosome 5, whole genome shotgun sequence.